rnacentral:tRNA from 1 species
GAGGGUAUAACUCAGUGGUAGAGUGUGUGCUUAGCAUGCACAAGGUCCUGGGAUCGAUCCCCCGUAUCUCCA